GACGAACGCUGGCGGCGUGCUUAACACAUGCAAGUCGAACGGAAAGGCCCUGCUUGCAGGGUACUCGAGUGGCGAACGGGUGAGUAACACGUGGGUGAUCUGCCCUGCACUUCGGGAUAAGCCUGGGAAACUGGGUCUAAUACCGGAUAGGAGCCAUUUUUAGUGUGAUGGUUGGAAAGUUUUUUCGGUGUAGGAUGAGCUCGCGGCCUAUCAGCUUGUUGGUGGGGUAAUGGCCUACCAAGGCGGCGACGGGUAGCCGGCCUGAGAGGGUGGACGGCCACAUUGGGACUGAGAUACGGCCCAAACGCCUACGGGAGGCAGCAGUGGGGAAUAUUGCACAAGGGGCGCAAGCCUGAUGCAGCGACGCCGCGUGGGGGAUGACGGCCUUCGGGUUGUAAACUCCUUUCGCUAGGGACGAAGCUUUUUGUGACGGUACCUAGAUAAGAAGCACCGGCUAACUACGUG
rnacentral:rRNA from 1 species